rnacentral:misc_RNA from 1 species
CAUGGAUCGGAAGUCACGCCUUACAUUCAUGAAGACAAACUAGACCUUUGCCCCGGUUGAUUGUUCCCUUGCUGUGUUAAUGCAGAACUAAAAGCGAGGGGACAAAAAUUGACCAAGAUCUUAUUAUCUGGUGCAAGAACGUUAACACGAAUUUUAACUGUUUAAUUAUGUAGAUAUUACAGCUGUGUUCACCAAUAAUCAGAACAAGAACACGAACCCUGCUUGAAACAAUGAAAACGAUUGCGAUCCCUCACAACUAUUUCUCUGUUGUAUAUCUCAGAAGCAAUUUUAAUAGCAGAAUGACAAUCCUGGCACAUGCGUAGAUUCUUGAAUAUAUAAAGAGGCGACCCAGGUCUCGUGCUUAUGAGCCCAAAACAGACGGCCAGCUUCUCACUGUGGGAGAAUAAUGCCUGUUCCUUCUCCUCCAUCUCCUCUGUGUUACCCUCUCUCCCAUCACAACCAGAGAAAACUUGUGAGGUAGUAUUAGGGACAUAACCAGCCAAUCUCAAUCUUCGAAUCAUAUCAUCCAGGGUCAGGUAAAUCUCCAGCAUUUGAGGAUGUAAUUGGUCCCCAGAGAUGAACUGGUGAACUUGACCAUCAACAUGAAUGGAACUCCUUCCUGGCACCUUUUUG